rnacentral:rRNA from 1 species
AGAGUUUGAUCUGGCUCAGGACGAACGCUGGCGGCGUGCUUAACACAUGCAAGUCGAACGAGGUAGCAAUACCUAGUGGCGGACGGGUGAGUAACACGUAGGUAACCUGCCUCUUAGUGGGGGAUACCCACCCGAAAGGGUGGCUAAUACCGCAUACCUUGUGGAGUUGCAAUACUCUUCAAGAAAGAUUUAUCGCUAAGAGAGGGGCCUGCGUACGAUUAGCUAGUUGGUGGGGUAACGGCCCACCAAGGCGACGAUCGUUAGCUGGUCUGAGAGGACGAUCAGCCACACUGGAACUGAGACACGGUCCAGACUCCUACGGGAGGCAGCAGUGGGGAAUUUUCCGCAAUGGGCGAAAGCCUGACGGAGCAACGCCGCGUGGGUGAUGAAGUCUUUCGGGACGUAAAACCCUUUCAGCAGGGACGAAGCGAGUGACGGUACCUGCAGAAGAAGCAUCGGCUAACUACGUGCCAGCAGCCGCGGUAAUACGUAGGAUGCGAGCGUUGUCCGGAUUUAUUGGGCGUAAAGCGAACGUAGGCGGUUUCUUAAGUUUGGUCUUAAAGACCGGGGCUCAACCCCGGGAAUGGACUGAAUACUGGGAGACUAGAGGAUGUUAGAGGAAAGUGGAAUUCCAAGUGUAGCGGUGAAAUGCGUAGAUAUUUGGAGGAACACCAGUGGCGAAAGCGGCUUUCUGGGACAUUCCUGACGCUGAGGUUCGAAAGCUCGGGGAGCAAACAGGAUUAGAUACCCUAGUAGUCC